rnacentral:antisense_RNA from 1 species
UGUUAACCAGGAUGUUCUUGAUCUUCUGACCUCGUGAUCUGCCCGCCUCGGCCUCCCAAAGUGCUGGGAUUAUAGGCGUGAGCCACUGCGCCCGGCCGAGCCGCCGAGUGUGAGACCAGCUCCCCUCCCAGCUAGGUGACCCAGGAUGACCUGGUACAGUCAUGCUGACUGAAGGCUUGGAGAGGCCAGGUGGGCACCUGAGUGGGGCGUCUCCCCAGGACUUCCUGAACCGUGGCCUCCAGCUCCUCUGUGGACACAGCCAUCUUGGCGUGCACAGUGCCGCCUGCCCCAGCCCCCCAGAGACUGCAUCAGGACCCUGGGUUCAGCUCAGCGGGGACCACAUCCAGGCUUCCCACAGCCCAGCCGCUGCCCACUCCUGGCCCAGCGCCAGCUUCCCCGCCCCUCCCACGCCACUUCUCCCUUGGCCCCAGGCCCAGCUUCCCUCCUUGCCCAGCACUGUGGUCCCUAGCCUGACAAGCUUCUCCCCAGCCACUGUCAUCUCCCCACUCUGUCUCCUCCGGCAGCCCAGCCCCCAGGCCCCCACCUACCUCCUAGAAGCCUCCGCUUCCCCCAGCCAGGCAGGUCCUGGGAGCACAGGCUGCUUCCUGCUUCCGGCUCCACACCACCUGAGGCCUUGGCAACCAGCCCCACCCUCCCCAGGGCCAGCAGAGGCCGCCCAGCCCAGGGGAGAGGGCCCAGGCCCAGCAGGUGCGCUCCCUGGCUCCGCACUGC